UACGGAGGGUGCAAGCGUUAUCCGGAUUCACUGGGUUUAAAGGGUGCGUAGGUGGGUUAGUAAGUCAGUGGUGAAAUCCCCGAGCUUAACUUGGGAACUGCCAUUGAUACUAUUAAUCUUGAAUACCGUGGAGGUCAGCGGAAUAUGUCAUGUAGCGGUGAAAUGCUUAGAUAUGACAUAGAACACCAAUUGCGAAGGCAGCUGGCUACGCGAAUAUUGACACUGAGGCACGAAAGCGUGGGGAUCAAACAGG
rnacentral:rRNA from 1 species